rnacentral:misc_RNA from 1 species
CAAAACGAGUUGCUGAACUUGGAAAACUUGAAAAAUCCAAUGACUUUGCUUCAACUGGGUCUGACUGUGCGUUACCUUUGUGUUCUCAUCCUUUUUGGCGCGCUGAGAAAAAAUGGAGUCAACGCCUGCAAAAAGAAUACUCUGCGCAGGAGAAAUGUACAUUUUGGCGCGCCUUCUUUAUCUCCUGCACCGAAAUGGCCGACCAACCAAACCAUGGCUGUUUAGACUGACCUUCGACCUCCUCCCAGCUGCUGACGAAUAAAACCCGCCCAAAAGAGAAAAGUUGCUCGUCUAUGGUGAUGGUAGUGACGUCACGACGCAUCUGUCAGUCAACUUGGCAUAGCCCUUCUCAUUAAGACGGAGAGAAUGCCACGUUUCAUCAAUGAACUACAACGAUGCGAACGCGGGAAUACGUCUGGAUAAAACAAAAACAAAGGAGGGCGAUUCCUGACAUCGUGUGUACGAUCUCCCAAACAAGGCGGAAAUUUCCGGACGGCGGGAGUGCCGAUAAAAACGAAAAUCCCAACGAUAACAUCGGAGGAGGACAAUCUCGAUGUACCAACACCAUCCGGCUCUUCAUAUCUGGGGACAACACAAUCAUCGAUGGAAGUCUUCGACUCGACCACGAGAUGGCAGCGGUUACCGACUCGGUCGCGAUGGGGUCUCGAGUGGUUGCGGAACUAGGACUUUUCACACACACAAAACGAACGGAGUUGGGAAAGAGGAGGACCGCCGCGCUUGAUGGUUAAUGGUCGCUCUACGCUGCAGAGUGUUGGCACGUUGAUUGAGGAAGUUUUCCUUUCGCUUUGAGGGCUGGCGCAGUUGAGACCUGGCCGGUGGUGAACGAUCGACUAGUCCGGUUGCCUGCCAGUGAAAGAGAGUCGUCUUCUCCUAGUUGGCCGCCACCCCCGAAGAUGUUUGCCACUCGACAAUCGACGAUGAGGAGGAGGAAGAAGAAAAAGGGUGUACGCCGCGGCGCAGCAGCAGCAGCAACCCUUUUGUGUUGGUCCCCAGUAGCGACAAUUGCGACUCGGCAACAUUGCGGCGCUAAUGAUUGUUUGGAGGGCAAUUUUCGAACGAUGCGCGUUCACACGCAGACACAAGGAACUGAAGGGGAGCCAUUCAGCUGAAGGCAUAACCAAAGAAGGAGGAAGAAAUUGGAUCUGAAAGUGAACCAGUUGGGAGCGUUUGCAUCCACAUCAAGCCCCCCCAAAAUGACGACCGAGUAGAAGGCAGUGGGAAGGAACAAGCUGAUGUGUAAAUAAGAGAGCCAUUAGCCAUCGCUGCAUCACCACGUGGUUCGCGCCGAAAGUGAAGCCAACUUUUCACAGUGCCCAUUGAAUAACUGUCGGCCAGACUUCUUCCCUACCACGAGCCUUUCUCCUCCGCCAUUGUCUAUUCUCUUAAAUUGUGCCGAUUGCCAAUGGAUUUCUUAUCGGAGGACACACACACACAAAAAAAGAGACACGGACCUUGUGCGGGUCGUUAUCUUCUCGAACCUGAGGUGAAGAUCGCGGUGGAGACACUAAUUAUACCGAGCCUCGUUGUGAAAAGAUUUUCUCGGCGCUUAACCAACGGUAGCAGAAUGACGGGUUUUUUUCCCCAAAAGCAGCGGGUUUAUUUCGUCCCUAAACACAAGGCCUCUUGUGCUACCCAAGUCGCUGGCCUCGAGUUAAAUCACCAAACAUCUACCGACGGAUAUGGAAUCGGUUUGAAAGUGGCGCCGUCGGAUAGAGAGACCAUCCGAGAACGACAUCAGCAGAUGGUUUGAUAGAGCCAUUAGAAUAAUAACCGUGUAAUUGCAAGAUGGUGGUCGAAACGAGCCCUUUUGUCGAUUGACAAUGCAAUGAGAUCAUUUCCCGGUGGCAUAACAUUCUAUUGGACAUUUUCGUGCCAUCGCCGGAAUGAUGGUAGGACGUUUCAAAUGCUAUUCAAAUAUUCUCUAGCAGUUUUCCUUCUCACGGACAAAGUCCCGAGUGUCAGGUCAAAUUCGAUCGCUUUUGAAAUGCAAUCCUUACCCAUCAUCACUAUACCACCACCUGCGAUAACAAAAUGCGCAUUCACGCCCGCUGCAACAUCAAUGACCAAUCCGAAACGAGCCGGAAUAGAACGAAAGGUAACACAUUCGCAUUAAGUUUUCUUUCCUUAUUUUAUUUAUUUAUUUCAUUUUUAUUUUUAUAUUUAUAAUGUUAUUUUCAUUUCCUUCUUCUUUCUCGCUCCCUUCCCAACAUUUUCUUAAUAUAAACCCCGUCAUCAGCAACGUGAACUGUGUGUGCGUCAGUAUUAAAUCAUUCGGCACCGUGCACACGCAGAGGGGGCUACGUGAAGGAAAAUAUAUUUAAAAAAAAAAAAAGGAGGAGAAGAUGAAGAGGUUCCGCAGAGCAAAUGCACACACUCCCCGCAAUCUUCUCCUCCUACUCCUUUCGGGCUAUCGUAGAGACGAAGAAGAAGAAGAAGAAAAAGAGUAUGAGAUUAAAAAAAGAAAAAAAAAGAAUUCCAAACGAAAAUAAUAUUUUCAUCAGACGAGAGAAUAAGCGAUGGUGGGAGGAGGGCUAGAUAGAUCGUAAAUUAAGCUCCCCCGCCAGAAGAGGUCGGGUGGGUGGGUGAAGCUGUGUGUGUGUAUAUAUAUAUAUACUAUAUGGCGGAGGAGAGAAAUAGAGAGAGAAGCAGGAGCAAGAGAGGAAAGAUAUACGAGCCGGGCGACGUCAGCCAAGUGCUGCUCUCUCUCUUCCUCGGUCGAUGGUUGGCUGGAGAAGAACUGCUUUUGCUGGGACCGAGAGCAGGGGGGGAGGGGGAGGCAGUUGGAUUUUUCCUAUAGGGCAGAGGCAUUUUCUCUUGUUAUAAAUCACUCGGCUGACUCGCCCGUCUUUUUUUCUUUCUUUUUCUUUCCCCCUUUAGCUCUUCGUCCAAGUUCACAGCUAAAAUGGGGAAUUUUUUUUUUGUUACGUGCUGGUGUAGUAGCCAAGAAAAAAAAAAUAAUGGUAAAUAAACUGGAGCGCAAUAGCAACUCCGCCACACUCAACAAAAAAUGGGCGAAUUUUGAUAGAACAUGGAACUUUGUUUACCAAACCGCUAAAUUUAUUUCAACUCCAAUAGCGAUUCGGUGUACCAUUUCCUUUUACAUAAUAGAGUGUAUAGGGGAGGGGGGGUUACGUUUGUCUCUUCUACGAUAGGAUUUUUCUCCAUAGAAGGAUCCGACCAACUAUGUAAUAGAGAAACUUCGCAUGCACCGCAGUAUGGAAGGCGUUUGGGGAGAGGGGCUUGACUUUGACGGAGGGUUGGUGUAGUAAUACAUAAAAGUGGAUUGUCUCUCGUUUCGUUUCUCAUUCUUCAAUAAGAGGAAUCGAAGAAGAAUAGAGAAUUUCAAAGGACUUAUUGCGGGCCGCUUAUUGUUUGACGCAUUGUCUUGUUGAUGGGGGCCCCGGCUGCUGGGAAUUUUCAAACUGCGAUCGAGAGCGAAGGUUCGAUCUGCUCUUUUGUGUCCCUCACUGCCGCUGGCUCUACUCGCGUUUGUCUCUUUAAUACGAAUGUCGGCAGUAAAAACGAACCAAUAAGGUUUGCUCCAGUUUUACCGCCAAUUGGAUACCUGUAGCUUCACUAGAACAUAACAUUUAAGUUUAAUGGCAGCGUUUCAAUAACUUCAACCCUCUGUCCCUUUUUGUUUUUUCGAUUGUUGUAAAACAAUGGGAUUAACUCGUAAGUCCCUUUGAAUUCUUUGCUGUUCGGGUUUUAAAUCUUGGAUAUUUAAAAGAAGAAAGAAGAAGAAAGAGAUCAGCUGGCAGGGAAAAUGUGUGUUUCAUUAAUACUCACGUCGCCCAGGGUUAAGUGGAAAGUCGCUUUCCGUGCUCUGCAAGACGCGAUCCUUAACAAGAACAACAGCAAUGAAGAAAGAGGUCAUUCUCUCACGUCUUCAUCUAGCCAGGAAGGAGGAGAGAGAGAAGAAAAAAGAGUUAUUAGAUGCAACAUAACAUUUCUUCUUAUUUAUUUAUUUUUUUUUUUCUUUCCCGGGGUAUUUUCCUAUUAUUAUUCGGAGCUAUGAGGGUUUUUUUUUUAUUUAUUUCUCCCGGUGAUGUAUUACUUAGUUAUCAUACCCCAGGUAUAUAUACACGGAACCGUGUGCGUAGCCCUUCUAUUUUUUCUUUCUUUACUAGUAGGCUACAUAUAUAGUAUAUAAAUAUAGACGGCACGGACAACACGCUCACGACGAGACACAAAGAUGGAAUACCUUGGCGUCUGUCAGCCAAUGGGCACAAAGAGAAGAAGAACCGCCGCUGGUGUGCCCCAGGUGCAGGCACGUAAUUAAGUUGAGAGACUUUGAAAAAGAAGAAGAGCCUAGGGCGAAGGCAGUCCUCGUGUAAUUACGCAUGGUUGGCCGAGUUGUGUGUACUCGUCGUACGUCUUCUCCUACGUGAUUGGUCACCGGCUUUCCUUUGCACUUAAAAAAAAGGGAGACAUAAGGAAUUUAAGAAAAAGGGAAGAUACACACAAUUUGUGUGUGUGUGUGUGUGUGUGUGUGUGUGUUUGUGUGUACAAAAGAAAACGAGAAUUAGAAAUAUGAACAGCGCAUUUAUUCGACUGUGUGUGUACUAUUGUUGUGCUGGCGUAAGACGGAAAGAAGAAAUAAAAAUUCCCGCCUCGCCCGCGCAAAACUGGCGCUGUUCAAUGACUUGAUUAGCUAAGCUUGAAUGCGCCUUCUUCUUCUUUUUUUUCUUUUUUGUUGUUGGUACUUUGACUCUUACGCAUAACGCGCUUGUACAUUAGCUUCGAAAGCUCUAUACGUGGGCUUCACAAUAACUUGGACGCAGCGGGUUACUCGCUGCCUGCGCUCUUCGGCUCUGUUGUAAAUCACAUGUCGGGUUCGGAUAUGAUUAAAUGCUUCUUAGUUUGCUUUUUUUUUACGCUUUUUUUUUAUUUUCUUUCUUUGUUGCAAGAUCGGCCACAACCAGCAAUCCAAGAAAUCCUUGGAUUGCUUUUUUCGCUGGUGCUUUAAAAUAUAUAUUUGUAAUUGCCCCCCAAAAAAACAUCAAUGGCAACGCUAAAGAAACAUUCGUGUUGUUUUGUUGCUAGUUUUUUUUUUAAGUCCGCUUAUUUUUGAAAUUACUCUUGGCAAUAACUGUGUGUUAUUUUUCUUUGGCGCAUGGCUUUGCAUGUUUUAAUUUUUCUUUAAAUGAUAACUGUGGUAUAGAUCUAUAUCCCGCCUGCACUGUAACCACGACGUCGUUAACGCUUCUUUAUAAUUCAGGGUCAUUUUCUGUUUUUCUAGCCGCAAAUACAGUCAGCGAUUGCGAUUUCAACAUUUGCUGACGGGCAUAAGUCACGUAGUGCUUUGCUUUUGUAACGGAGUUUAAAAAAACAAACAAAAACAAUUUUAAUUUAGCCUCGAUUUCCAUGCAAACAGCAUCGUCUGAUAUAUAUUUGUAAUAUAUAGCAAACCGAAACACUCGGUGCCCUGAAUGGUAACGCAGCGCACCGGAAAGCUCGUCUUAUAUUGGAAGUCACUGCCAGUGCAAUACGCGUCCUUUCUUUUCCAGUUUGUCAGCCAGCAGUUGAUGGAAAUAUUAUGAGAAUAUGGGGUUGUUUUUUUUUUUCUUCUUCUUCUUUUCUCUCGUUUUUAUUUUUAUUUAUUUUUUUGUACGUUUUCUAUAUAUCCAUCCAUCCUUCUCUACUGUUAGUCUCUCGGCAGCCGGCGUUGCUUGCUGUUCAUUGGUUGCAUAGAGUAGACAAUAUGACGCAAUAAGUCUCUCUCUUUCUCUCCCCUCCUUUUCUGACACACGCUGGCGCUGCCUGGCUUGUUUCACAUUUUCGAGAGAGACCCCCUCGUCAGUGUCUCGUAUAACCCAUCCGCCAGAUGGAAACUAUCGUUUACAACCUCAAAAUGGGCUAUAUGGGCCUGUUAGACGAUGACGUGGGGCAUUGCCUAUAGGAGGAUAACACAUCACCGGCAAUUCAUUUCGCAUCGUUAUAUAUACGCGCACACAGUUACGAGUUGUAAUAGUGGUAGUAGUACACACUAGUGCAGUCGUCGUUUUAUUGGUCCACUAAAAAGGCAAACAAGCGCUUACUCCAACCGCAUUAUGAGGUGUCGAUUAAAGAGCCUUCAAAUUGAUAUUUCAUACAGAAAGUUGUAACUCAUUUUUUCUUUUUUGGUGGGAAUUUAUUUCAAGUUAUUUUCAUACGAAGAGCUUUAAUUCCAAGAAUACAAACACGAUAGAGUGUGCAAUAAGUCAAGCCAAAGCGCUUUAGAUAUGGACAUGUAUAUUGAACCCCUCUGUCUUCUCUCUUUUCCUCUGUGUAUUUACGCUAUCAAAAGGGGGGGGGGGAUGAUUGGUAUUCCAAUCAGAUUGGCUUGUGGACUUUGGGGAAGAUACAAGUUUCAGCUCCUCUCCAACUCGGCGAGAAUGUUAUCGUAAAGUGGGCGAAAACUAGCAACAACAAAAAACGGAGCAAUUCUUAUUUUUUUUCCCCUCUUUUUUCUUUUUCUUUUGUACUCCACUAUACUUUGACUCCCGUUUUCGAUUCAUUAUAAAAUGCUAAUGCGCAGUUUCGUGUGUGUGUGUGUGUGUUGGCGUGUGGUUUUCCUCGAGCGCCCGAGGUCUAUCGUUUCUUUCUUUUCCCUUUUGUGUUGCUGGGCUCUCCAGUUAAGAGGAACAGCCUCAGCAUGUUCAUUCAGGUAACACUGACUUGCAUCUAGGACAAGAGAAAUGAAGACGUUUGGCCGUCGCGGCAUGAAAGGGGAGGAUAAAAGAAAAUGAUGAACGCGGGCAAGAAGAAUAGACGAAGACGUAGAAGUUGAGUCUAACCUUUAUAAUAAUAACGAGCAAUUAUAUCCGGGGAAAGAGGAGAAGAAAAAAAAAAAUAUAUAUAUAUAUAAGAAGGGUGCUGUCUGUAUAAUUACGAACGCUUUGCCCCGCCAUUGGACCGACAGUUCUCUCUCUAUCUAAAGUUUCAUGUUAAUGUCUUUUUUCUUUUCUUAUUCUCAACUUGUUUCUUGUGUAUAAUUCGGGGCCUGCUGGCGUGUGGGUGUGGCAAACUCGCAUCCGUGUUCACGGUGGAGGCGGGCAGCGAGGCGAUGAUGCAUAUGCUCAUAAUGUUAUAUUAUCUUGAUACUACACUCUUUUUUUUCUAUUUUUUUAUUUUAAGCUUUUGUUUUUCUUCUUUUUUCAGAGUGUCUUUUGGAAGAAAAAAAAAGGGAAAGAUUUUCAACGCAAGCAUCAUCUUGUUUGAAUCUUAUAUUUGUUCCAGUCUCAGCUCAGCCGUGCUGUACCAUAUAUACUUCAUUUUCCAGUCCAACAAACCGGGACGUGCCGGGCACGGCUCUCAAUUUUUAUUUCCCUCCUAUCCACGCUCCGUUUUGGCCCUCCUCCCCCGUAACUGAUGAAAGGAGGGCUGCUGCUGGAAACGGACAGGGCCGUAAAGCUUGAGAGCUCCUCGUGUGUACACGCUUGGCCGGCUCCGGCAGCACGGAAUCCGACAUACUUCGCUACCAGUUUCUCUUUCUUUUUUUUUUCUUUUUUUUCCAUCCGUCCGUUUUCUCUCCCCUUAAAGAGCCGACUGUUUGUUUUCGUUUCCGUCCGAGGUCGAGCGUGCGUUUUCUGCAGUGCAGCAGCCAGGAACGAGAAAGAUUUGUAUUCCUCUUUUAAAAAAAAAAUCUUCAUUUUAUCGCGUCUUCUCCUUGGCUUCUUUUCGUAUUGGAUAAAUGAUUUCAGAGUAAAGAGAGAGUUACAAAACGAACAAACGGAACUGAAUCGAUCAUUUCUUAGUUUGACACGAAACAGGAGGGCUUUUGUCGCACUGUUUUCAUUUGCAAUGAAUUUAUUUGGUUUUUACCUAGUGUGCACGUAACACUACACUUUGUCCCAAAGUUUGAGCCGUUUUCAUCUUAGCAUAGAAUGAUAAACAAGAGGGGAAAUAAGUCGUCGUUUCUAAUCGCAUUAGACGCAAGUGCAACACAAGCAACGACGGGCCAAACAACUCAGAAGAAAAAAAAAAAAAAAUCAGCUGAUGAGCGCUUCUUUUCUCUUUCCGUUUUGCCGCUAUUCUUUUCUUCUCUUUUAUACAUUAUGGAUUUUCUUAUGUCUGCUUGCGCACAUAUAUCUUGAGCCAGGGGCUUUUGCUGCACUGCUGUGAUUAAGAUGGCAAUUUCCUUGGGAGCGUUGCUGCUGCCGCCUUCCUCCACCUCCUCUAUGUAACAUCGAUUGUAUCAAAGUGCCAUCCAUACAUCUUAGGCGGCCUCCGCCUCCUCUAGACGACAAGUCUCUCUCUCCUUCGUCCUAAAUCAUGGAAGAGAAAGAAAGACAAAAAAAAAAAUGAACAAGAGGAAGAAUAACAACUUGAUAUCUUUCUGCCUUUUUAUUUUUGUUUCCCGCAAGUUCUGCUAUGUUUAUUUAUUAUCUUUUCUUCAUUUCACAUUUAGAACAACAACAAACACAAUUUCACAUGGAAAGAGAGCUGAUGUCUUAACAAUGAUGUUACUUCAUUGUAGAAGAAAUUGAAGAUUGUGGGGAAGAGGCGGAGUUUCAGUUGACUUGCCUGAACUUUAUUGGGCUGGACGGGAGUGACGAACCAGCGGAGAGCACGAGCCAGAGAUUCCUGUUUGGCGCACUUCCCAUUUCAUCCAUCUGCGAUGCCAGAUGAGUCACUAUACGAUGAGGGUUGUAAUGGUUUGCCUCCCUCUGAAAUGAUCACCAAUCGCCAAGAAUACUCAGCAGAUACGUUCAGAAGCAGCCCGGCCAGGGACCUGGCAGCUAAGCCUCGUUUAUCGCACAUAAAAUCUGAAAGCCUAACGCAGUUUCGGUGACAAAUGAUUCCAUAACCCGAUCCAGAGAAUGCGUUAUUAAAAAUAGAAGCACGGCAAAGCGUUUGUAAUGACCGCCAUCUGUUAGCAAGUUGUACAACCCCAUAAAAUAAGAAAACGAACAAAAACCCUGCUUUUUUCCCGAAGUUAAGAAAUAGGGAGAGAUUUUCGAUGCUGUAGAGUUUCAUAGUUCGAUAUUCUAACGAGGGAAAAAUGAAGUCUCAUUGAAAGAGAUAGACCCUUCCGGCUGGAACCCAUUUGAUUAACCCCAGUACAUUGACGAACUAAGAAGUGUUUUUAAAUGUGUAACGAAGAAGAUGUGCCCAAACCUCGUUCAGUGACACGCGACAGUGUUAACGAAGCCCGUGUAUCAUUGUAAGAGAUAUUGCUGUCCGUAAAGAAACAGUCCUUCUUUCAAUAAAAUUGACAGUUUAGAGUAA